UGAAAAGCACCCCGGAAGGGGAGUGAAAUAGAACCUGAAACCGUGUGCUUACAAGUAGUCAGAGCCCGUUAAUGGGUGAUGGCGUGCCUUUUGUAGAAUGAACCGGCGAGUUACGAUUUGAUGCAAGGUUAAGCAGUAAAUGUGGAGCCGUAGCGAAAGCGAGUCUGAAUAGGGCGUUUAGUAUUUGGUCGUAGACCCGAAACCAGGUGAUCUACCCUUGGUCAGGUUGAAGUUCAGGUAACACUGAAUGGAGGACCGAACCGACUUACGUUGAAAAGUGAGCGGAUGAACUGAGGGUAGCGGAGAAAUUCCAAUCGAACCUGGAGAUAGCUGGUUCUCUCCGAAAUAGCUUUAGGGCUAGCCUCAAGUGAUGAUUAUUGGAGGUAGAGCACUGUUUGGACGAGGGGCCCCUCUCGGGUUACCGAAUUCAGACAAACUCCGAAUGCCAAUUAAUUUAACUUGGGAGUCAGAACAUGGGUGAUAAGGUCCGUGUUCGAAAGGGAAACAGCCCAGACCACCAGCUAAGGUCCCAAAAUAUAUGUUAAGUGGAAAAGGAUGUGGCGUUGCCCAGACAACUAGGAUGUUGGCUUAGAAGCAGCCAUCAUUUAAAGAGUGCGUAAUAGCUCACUAGUCGAGUGACACUGCGCCGAAAAUGUACCGGGGCUAAACAUAUUACCGAAGCUGUGGAUUGUCCUUUGGACAAUGGUAGGAGAGCGUUCUAAGGGCGUUGAAGCAUGAUCGUAAGGACAUGUGGAGCGCUUAGAAGUGAGAAUGCCGGUGUGAGUAGCGAAAGACGGGUGAGAAUCCCGUCCACCGAUUGACUAAGGUUUCCAGAGGAAGGCUCGUCCGCUCUGGGUUAGUCGGGUCCUAAGCUGAGGCCGACAGGCGUAGGCGAUGGAUAACAGGUUGAUAUUCCUGUACCACCUAUAAUCGUUUUAAUCGAUGGGGGGACGCAGUAGGAUAGGCGAAGCGUGCGAUUGGAUUGCACGUCUAAGCAGUAAGGCUGAGUAUUAGGCAAAUCCGGUACUCAUUAAGGCUGAGCUGUGAUGGGGAGAAGACAUUGUGUCUUCGAGUCGUUGAUUUCACACUGCCGAGAAAAGCCUCUAGAUAGAAAAUAGGUGCCCGUACCGCAAACCGACACAGGUAGUCAAGAUGAGAAUUCUAAGGUGAGCGAGCGAACUCUCGUUAAGGAACUCGGCAAAAUGACCCCGUAACUUCGGGAGAAGGGGUGCUCUUUAGGGUUAACGCCCAGAAGAGCCGCAGUGAAUAGGCCCAAGCGACUGUUUAUCAAAAACACAGGUCUCUGCUAAACCGUAAGGUGAUGUAUAGGGGCUGACGCCUGCCCGGUGCUGGAAGGUUAAGAGGAGUGGUUAGCUUCUGCGAAGCUACGAAUCGAAGCCCCAGUAAACGGCGGCCGUAACUAUAACGGUCCUAAGGUAGCGAAAUUCCUUGUCGGGUAAGUUCCGACCCGCACGAAAGGCGUAACGAUUUGGGCACUGUCUCAACGAGAGACUCGGUGAAAUCAUAGUACCUGUGAAGAUGCAGGUUACCCGCGACAGGACGGAAAGACCCCGUGGAGCUUUACUGUAGCCUGAUAUUGAAAUUCGGCACAGCUUGUACAGGAUAGGUAGGAGCCUUUGAAACGUGAGCGCUAGCUUACGUGGAGGCGCUGGUGGGAUACUACCCUAGCUGUGUUGGCUUUCUAACCCGCACCACUUAUCGUGGUGGGAGACAGUGUCAGGCGGGCAGUUUGACUGGGGCGGUCGCCUCCUAAAAGGUAACGGAGGCGCUCAAAGGUUCCCUCAGAAUGGUUGGAAAUCAUUCAUAGAGUGUAAAGGCAUAAGGGAGCUUGACUGCGAGACCUACAAGUCGAGCAGGGUCGAAAGACGGACUUAGUGAUCCGGUGGUUCCGCAUGGAAGGGCCAUCGCUCAACGGAUAAAAGCUACCCCGGGGAUAACAGGCUUAUCUCCCCCAAGAGUUCACAUCGACGGGGAGGUUUGGCACCUCGAUGUCGGCUCAUCGCAUCCUGGGGCUGUAGUCGGUCCCAAGGGUUGGGCUGUUCGCCCAUUAAAGCGGUACGCGAGCUGGGUUCAGAACGUCGUGAGACAGUUCGGUCCCUAUCCGUCGUGGGCGUAGGAAAUUUGAGAGGAGCUGUCCUUAGUACGAGAGGACCGGGAUGGACAUACCUCUGGUGUACCAGUUGUCGUGCCAACGGCAUAGCUGGGUAGCUAUG
rnacentral:rRNA from 1 species